CGCGCAGGCGGCCUCUUAAGUCUGAUGUGAAAGCCCCCGGCUCAACCGGGGAGGGCCAUUGGAAACUGGGAGGCUUGAGUAUAGGAGAGAAGAGUGGAAUUCCACGUGUAGCGGUGAAAUGCGUAGAGAUGUGGAGGAACACCAGUGGCGAAGGCGACUCUUUGGCCUAUAACUGACGCUGAGGCGCGAAAGCGUGGGGAGCAAACAGGAUUAGAUACCCCUGUA
rnacentral:rRNA from 1 species